GGUGUGUUUUGGAUUCUGGCCCCUGUCCUAGAAAAGAACAGGUUUUGGCUAAAAACAGCAUCGUCAUAAUUGAAAUUUCACUGAAAAUAGAUCAAAAGACGCACAAACAUGCCCAUGUCACUCUUGUCCUGACUGUAUUACUCAUAAUUAACCUAAUUAUUAUUGUUAUACUGUUGGUUUUAAGUGCAUUUUACUUCUACUAUAUUGUUUAAACUGUAUAUAAUUUCCUGUGAUGAUGCCUUUUGGACGAGGUCUCCCUUGAGAAAGAAAUCUAAUCUCAAUGGGAUUUCCUGGUAAACUAAAGGUUAAAUAAAAAAAAUAUAUAUAUUAAAAAGAUGCUAAAAUAUUGACAAGUCAAUGAUAGUAGAUCUACAUUUGAGUCAGUUUUCCAAAGUAUUUGCAUAAGUUCAACUUUCUUUAAUGAAAAUAGAGCUACAAUAUUCAUUAAAAACUUGCAAUCAAUUAAAUUGUUAAUUUUCAAAUAUAUAAUUAUUUUCUAUUUUUUUCAACUAUGUUUAAAAAAUGAUUUAUAUAACAAAUUUACUGUUGUAUUGUGUAUUUGAUUUGCAGUUCUAUAAUCCACAAAAAAAAUAAAAAAUAAAAGAAAGGCUUAACAUUUACAAUUAAUAUAUAUAUAUAUAUUAUAUGGUAGUAGCUACAAAAACUGCAUUAGGCCUUUUAUGGCUUUCCUCCAAAUUUUCCAGUACCAAAUUUAAUAAUAUCUGCCAAAAUUAUACAAAAUAGUUUGCAUUUCGGGAGCAAGAAGUUGUUGAAACUGGAAUUUAUGUCAAGACAAAUUAACUUGCAAAAUAUUGCAGCAAGAAAACAAAUCAGAGUAAACCUUCAAAGGAACAUUAAUAUAUUUAGCUUUAAGAUUUCUAUUACAGGAAAAGCUGCAAAAGAUCUGCAUGCCUGGCCUGAAAAAUAUGCAGGGUGGACACAUUCUACCUCAUUCUCUUCCUCUGCGAGUCCCUGAAUGUGUGCAGGAAAGGAUGCAUCCACAGUUUUUGCCAGAGUGCAUCGUUCAUACAUGUGGCCCCAGAAGUUGUCAUCAGAUGAUAGGUGAUGCUGACACAUUACUGCUGCGUGUUGCACUUCUUACCCACCAUUGUCAGGGGAACACGUCCAUCUUUUGAGCUAUGAUUGUGAAACAAACAACCCUCCUCUGCAAAACCUGCAAUUUCCGAUCUUAUUAGGCAGACUCCUUUAUAAAUGUGAGGCAAGAAAGUUUAUAUUUAAAGCUCUUUUACUUCCUUUCUGACAUAAGAAGAUUAGACAGAGAGGCAGAAAAAACAAGAAAAGGCAGGAAAAACAAUUUGAGAAUUUAAGUUAAAGAAAAUGAUUAAAGGACUCUCAUUGGCUAAUUAAAAACUAAAAUAAAGUGAAAAAUAUAUAUAUUGGUAGAUAAGAAGCUGUCUUAAAAGAAAAAUGUUUACUUACAAAAUACCAGGGCGUGAUUUCAACAAAAUACUGACAGUUAAAGUCUGUUUAGUUGAAAACUGAAAGACUGAUGGAUGACAAUGGUGGAUGAAUAAAUGAGGGAUCAUCUGACUUAAGUAUAUGAGGAGGAAAAUCACUUUAUAUGGUAAUAAAACCACAGCAACGCUGGGAUUCCACCAUCUAAAGAUAUGAGAUUCAACUGAUUUAUGUGUUUCUCUAAAGGAAGAACGUGAACUUCAUUAGAGGACUUCUGCCUAAUGAUGCCCUGGCACCAUUUUGGGGCCAUGUUGUUGUCUGAGGCCAGGUCUUCUUGCAGGAUUCAGAAAAACCUCUGGGGAAAAAGAAGAGAAACCGAAGCAAGAAAGUUGGAGAAAAGUGAACACGUAUAAUGUGGAGUAACGAUUGGAACAGAACGAGACUGGAAGAACGAGGUCUUUUGGUCACAGUGUAAGAGGCAGAUAAAAGAGAGUCAUGAGGAGAAAAUGGUAAGAAACUCAGAGAAGGACUGUGUGAAUAAGAGAGAGUCAGGCAGCAUGGGAACUUUUUUGUAUGUUUUUUUUCUUAUUACAUGAAGAAAGUGAGCCGAGCAUCAAGGUGAGUUUCAAAUCCAGACUGCUUUAUGGUUUUCCAUAAGAAGGUGAAGAUUUCAGAAUUUUGCAUCAUAAUUUGGUUUGGUUUCAUCUCCACAGGUAGGCAGAAAACAAGAGUAGCAAGAAAAUGUGUAAUUACUGUAAACUGUUUUCUUGCAGCAACUAUGUAUUAUGCAACUAUGUAACAAAUAAGUAAUAUAAAACCUAUUUCAAAAGAAAUUUUUGUGGUAAAAGCAGAAUUUUUUUCUAAACUGUGAAAUAUAUUUAAAUAUUUUUUACACCCAUAAUCCAAAUUACUGUAUAGCUUAAAAUCAUUGCAUUAAAUGACAUAUUGCACACAUACAUGUUAAAAACAGGGGUCUUUAAAUCUUGUAUUAUAGAAUCAUUUUGGAAAAUACAAUUUUUUUUAAUUUAAAUAUAUAAUAAAACACAGCCCUGUGAUUUUUGGCAAACAAAUAUGUUUACUAUUAUUACAGCAAUCUGCACUGAAUAUACAUCAAAUAUAGAACAUUAUAUCAAUAAUGGCAAGAAAACAGUAACUAGUGCAAAAUUUAGAAAAAACAAAAAUGUGAUUAACAGCACUGCAAACAUAGAUAUAUUUUUUAAAUAAAAGCAGUAAUAAAUUUCAAAGUCGCAAGUGAGAAAAAUAAACAAAAGCAACACUAAUGAAUAAAAAUAUACACAACACAACAAAAAAUGCUGCCAUUGCGUGUAUAUGUGGCGGUUUAAUGACUCACGACUCUGAUGAGGCAGAGAGGGAAGAGACAAAGUGUGAGGAGGUGAUGCACUGUUUAUACAGACAAUGCUGCCAGAUUGGGCAGUUUCCUACUUAAAUUAGGCAGGAUUUUACUGAAAUUAGGUUGUUUUUUUUACCAAUUUGGCAACACUUCAGACAGAUAUUUGCUGUGCUCUGUAAGUAAAUCCAAACUAUUUACUGUACUGCAACUAAAGUAUCGAUUUUUUCACACUAGUAUUGAUACUUCACCUUGGUAUCAAUUCCAUCAAUUCUCCCCUAACACUUAAAUCAGUGUGUUACUUGGUA